rnacentral:lncRNA from 13 species
AUGUUGGCUCCGCCCAACACUGAUGCAGAGAGGAGGGGCUUAACUCAGUCAGCUGAUCUGUUCCAGGAGCUGCAGAGAGAGGUGAUGGUGAAGCUGCGUGUUCCCAUGACAACCGGCCGUUCCCUCCCCUCCUCCCCCCUUCCCCUCUCCUUGGCCCCUCACAGACAGAUCUACCUUCCUCCCCCCUCCUCUUCCUCCUAUGAGGACAGACCCAUGCUACCUCCACGCUCCCCCAUCCCACCCCUACGCUCCUCCAAACGCGUUUCCCUAUGUGAGAGGGAAAACACACCCCCCCAGAUCCCUCCCAGAGACCACGCUUUCUCUCAGCCCUCCUCACGCUCCUCCUCCCCCCUUCCUUUAGUGCUUCCCCUCUCUGUCUCCCCUCUCUCCUCCUCCCUUUGUCUCCCCCCUCCUCCCCUCUCCUUCUCUCCUCGUCAGAGGACUGGACUAUACGGGGUUGUUGGUCCUCUCGGCUCUCUAAUCUCCUCCUCCCCCUCUUCCUCUCCUCCCUCCUCCUCCCUCUAUUCAUCCAUGCUUAUAGCUGCCCCUCCCCCCAGUUCCUCAUUGGAUCCCCUCUCUGAGGGGCGUGACCUGUCAAUACUUAUUGACAACUCUCAGAGUUCUGAACGCCCCGCCUACUUAGAGAGGUAUGGAGCCACCAAAAUGGCCACCGUCCGACCCAUGGUGCAACAGCAGCCAGGUGGGGGUGGGGCCAGGCCUAACUCCUCCCACAACAACAACAAUCACAGGACUCAACAUUUAACUGCAGCUCCCGGCAGGCAACGGGAGAACGGCCUCAUUCAGGUAGAACAGUUGUUCCAGCUGGGUCUGCGUUCUAGAACAGAGUGCCAGGAGGUUCUAGAGCGUUGCCAGUGGAACCUAGAACAGGCAAGCACCAUGCUACUGGACUCUUGUGGAAAAGUAGGCUGAGACAGACUCCAGGACUACUGACCUACAGACUUAAAACUACUGAUCUUUAACCCUACAGACCUACUGUUCUAAAAACUACAAACCUUUACCUAUUACUACAGGCCUUUAUCUACAGACCUGAAACAACAAACCUUUACCUAUUACUACAGACCUUUAACUACAGACCAGCCACCUGUAUACUAGAGAACUCUGACAAUGAAGUGAAGCCAACCGAUUUNNNNNNNNNNNNNNNNNNNNNNNNNNNNNNNNNNNNNNNNNNNNNNNNNNNNNNNNNNNNNNNNNNNUUGGUCGUACUGAUGGUGAGUUGACGCUGAUCUUAUAUUCAGUAGUUCUUCUCAACUGUAUGUAAUGAAACCUAAGAUGACCUGGGGUACUAAUGUAAGAAAUAACACGUAAAAAAACAAAAAACUGCAUAGUUUCCUAGGAACGCGAAGCAAGGCGGCCAUCUCUGUCGGCGCCGGAAGUAUGGAAUGUGAUGAUGCAUGGGAUGUGAUGAUGCAUGGGAUGUGAUGGUGCAUGGGAUGUGAUGGGAUGUGAUGAUGCAUGGGAUGUGAUGAUGCAUGGGAUAUGAUGAUGCAUGGAAUGUGAUGAUGCAUGGAAUGUGAUGAUGCAUGGAAUGUGAUGAUGCAUGGAAUGUGAUGAUGCAUGGGAUGUGAUGAUGCAUGGAAUGUGAUGAUGCAUGGAAUGUGAUGAUGCAU